GAGUCGGACCUGCCCGGUGAAUCGCUUUUAACGGCCGCGGUAUCUUGACUGUGCUAAGGUAGCAUAAUAAUUUGCUCUAUAAUUGAGGGCUGGUAUGAAUGGUUUGACGUGAGCAAAGCUGUCUCUAUAAUGAUUUUUUAGAACUUGAUUUUUAGGUGAAAAAACCUAAAUUUUAUUAAAAGACAAGAAGACCCUAUUGAGCUUUAAGAAAAUUAAUAAGUUUAAAUUUAUCUAUUGAAAAUUUCAAUUGUUAAAGAUUUUGGUUGGGGCGACUAAGGAACAGUAAAAACUUCUUUUAUUUGUUAAAGUUUUACAGAUGUUGAUCCAAACAUUUUGAUUAAAGAAAUUAGUUACCGUAGGGAUAACAGCAUAAUUCUUUUUGAGAGUUCUUAUCGAAAAGAGAGUUUGUGACCUCGAUGUUGGACUAAAAUUUCCUGAAGAUGCAGCAGUCUUUAAGGGUUGGUC
rnacentral:rRNA from 1 species